rnacentral:rRNA from 1 species
GCUGGACUUGAACAUGAGAGUUUGAUCCUGGCUCAGAACGAACGCUGGCGGCAGGCCUAACACAUGCAAGUCGAGCGGUCGUAGCAAUACGACAGCGGCGCACGGGUGAGUAACGCGUGGGAACCUGCCCUUUGGUUCGGAACAACCCUGGGAAACUAGGGCUAAUACCGGAUAAGCCUCCGCGAGGAGGGAAAGAUUUAUCGCCGAAGGAGGGGCCCGCGUCCGAUUAGCUAGUUGGUGGGGUAAUGGCCUACCAAGGCUGCGAUCGGUAGCCGGUCUGAGAGGACGAUCGGCCACACUGGGACUGAGA